rnacentral:lncRNA from 1 species
UGAAGAGAAGAACAAGAGAGUUGAAGGGGAAGCUUGAGGAAUCAAGUGGGGUGACCUAGGAGCUGAAUUGAAGCAAGGGUUAAGGAUAAUCAUCUUCAAAGGUAAGGGGGGUAGUGAUUAUCAUAAUCAUGUACAAUUUUUGCAUUUUCUCAUGUUGUAUGAAAAUGGGUUGAUGAACAAUUGUUGCUAAAUUCGUGCUCUUGCUGUGAUGCUAUUUUCUUGUGCAUGAAUUGAUGAUUAUGGUAUGUUUGUGGGUGAAAUUACAUGUUUCAAAGUAUGUAUAAAUGUUAAGUUAUGAAAUUAUGCUUAAUUGAUGAAAUUUGAUAUGUUUUGAUUGAAAUGAGAUGUAAAUCAUAUGUAAUUGAUGUUGUUGUUGCUGAGAUAUGUUGUUGAUUAUGAUUUAUGGCUUGGGUGUUCAUAUACCAUAAUUGUUGAUGAGAAAUAAGAUGUUGGUGGUGGUUUUGUGAAAUUGGUGAAGUUGAGUUAAGUGUUCAUGUGAAGGACCAAAUUGAACUUUGAUAUUUAUGGUUGUUGACUGAAAUUUUGUUAUUGUUGGAGGAAUUGAACCUAUGAGAAUUUCUGUUUUCAUGUUGUGGUUAUGUUAGUUGAGUCGUUUGGGAGAAAACGGGUUUUUCGUGUGAAAUGUCGAUGUUUAAGCGUUUUCGCCAAUAAGUGCUUAUGUGAGGUUUAGGAAAAUGAGUUUUGGGAUGGUUGAGACAUGAAAUUUUUGUAGAUUAUGUUAGAGUCAAGUGUCAAGAGCGUGUAGGCGAAAACGGCAUCAAAAUCCGAUUAACGGUUUGAAUUUUACGCGCGAAAUGGUGAAAAACGCACUUUUUGAAGAACUGAUUUCUGGACCUGAUGCUGGCAAAACGUGUCACGAUUUGGCAAGCGUGUCACGAUUUUGUUGGCCGAAAAUUCAGUGUUUCUGGACGUAAAAUCGUGACACGAUUUUUGCGAACUAGAUCCUGCAUAUUUUGCUAUUUUUCACCCCUUUCCGCUUUGAAUUGGAUUUUGAUGUAAACAUGAAACUUUUAGAUAAUUUUGUUAGCUUUCUAAUGGCGUUGGUUUGAGGUCCAAAUGAUUUUUAGAACUUGAGUUAUGAUCAAAUUACUACACAUGGGUCAUGUGGAUUUUUGUGAAAACUUAUCAUAACUUUUUCUAUGAGCCGUGGAACUUUUCCAAACUUGAUAUUGGGUUUAAUGAAGUACUUAGAGUGAAUAAUUGAGUAUGCAUUUAUGUAUUUUGGGAAUGUGAAUGUGUUGAUAAUUUAGGAAAUAUUUUGGGCGGAGUUGAAUCGGUGAAAACGAGUUUUGAGCUAAAAUGUCGUUUUGUCUUGGAUUUUCUCAUACGAACUUAAGCUAUCCUUUGAACUAAUUUCUAAUAGUUUGUAAGUGGCUUAAGUCCUUGACUACAUGAUUGAUUAAGAUUGAAUUGUAGGAUUUCAAACUUAAAUAAGUUGCCUAGCUUUGAAAAUUAUCAAUGUUGGCAGUUUGCCACAUGAUUUGGAUUUUUGUCGGAAAUGUUUCUUUAGCAAAUUGUCUUGUGAGUUAUUGAGAUUAUUCUUGUAUGACUAAGUGAAGUUGUAUGAAUGAAUGAUUGUAUUGAAUAUGAUGUUUAUCAUGAGAUGUGUAUGCUAUCUUACUUAGAAUGUAAGGAAUGCUUGAAUGGUGAAACUAUAUGUGAUAGUUGAUGUUGAAUGAUUAUAUGUUGGAUAUGAUAUUUGUCAUGAGAUGUUGUAUGUUCUCUUACUUGGAAUAUGAGAAUUAUUUGGAAUGGUGAAACUAUAUGAUAUAGUUGAUGUUGAAUGACAUUGUUGAUUAUUGAUAAUCAUGUUGAUGUGUGAUGAUGAAUAUUAUGAUUUAUUUGUGUGGGCAUGUUUUCUUGAUAAUGCAAUGUUGUGGAGAUAAUCAAUAUAAUUGGGUGUUAUCAUAUAUAUUGAGGUUGAGAUUGUGAAUUGUUGUCGCAUUAUCGAGUCCUUAUACAUGUCCAUGCAUCAUAGUCGAUGUUGCUGUAAAAGGGUUGAGCUCUUUUACUUUGAGAUUAUUGUAAGGCAGGUGUGAGCCUUACAUACGAUGUGCAAGUGGCAUCGGAAGGUGACGACCUUGUUGAGAUUUGGUACCACAUGCAUUUAUGUGUCAAUAAGUGCAUAUCAUAACAUGAGUCUUAUGUGAAAUUUGUGAUUGGUGAUUGUUCAUGAAAUAUGAUUAAUGAUUAUUCAUGAAUAUUUGUGAUUGGUGAUUGUGAAUGAAUAUUUGUGAAUUGAUAUUGUUCCUGAUACAUGUGAUUGGUGAUUGUUCAUGAAAUAUGAUUAAUGAUUGUUCAUGAUGUAUAUGAUUGGUGAUUGUGUAUGAAUGACUGUGAAUUGAUAUUUGUUCAUGACACAUGUGAUUGGUGAUUAUUGAUGUGAGAUAUUGGGGUUUGAUGUAAGUAUUGAUGUGAGAAUAUUAUUAUUGAUCAAGUGCAUGAUGUUUAAAUUGAAAUAUUCAUGUUAACUGUUAUUUGGAUUAUGAUAAUGUAAUACUUACCCCCAGUGGAUCUGUUAUGGACCGCCUGCCUAUCUGUAUGGAUGGGUAGACGUUGUGCAGGUUUAGUUGCUUGGUGAGUUCUUGUGCUUGGUGGAUAUCUGGAGCUUUCUCCGAUAUCGGCGUUUAGAUGUUUAGUUGGCUCUUAUCUAGGCUUCGUUGUGUCGGUCUAGAUUAGGUUAUCUUGGUUUUUGUUAUGUUUGGAGAUGACCCGUUUGUUGGGAUUUUUGAGAUGCAUCUAUGUUGAUGUAAUUUAUUUAUUCAUAACAUGUAUAUUUGAAUUUACU